rnacentral:rRNA from 1 species
GAUGAACGCUAGCGACAGGCUUAACACAUGCAAGUCGAGGGGCAGCACGGGAGUAGCAAUACAACUGGUGGCGACCGGCGCACGGGUGAGUAACGCGUAUGCAACCUACCUAUCAGAGGGGAAUAACCCGGCGAAAGUCGGACUAAUACCGCAUAAAACAGGGACACCGCAUGGUGAUAUUUGUUAAAGAAAUUCGCUGAUAGAUGGGCAUGCGUUCCAUUAGGUAGUUGGUGAGGUAACGGCUCACCAAGCCGACGAUGGAUAGGGGAACUGAGAGGUUGGUCCCCCACACUGGUACUGAGACACGGACCAGACUCCUACGGGAGGCAGCAGUGAGGAAUAUUGGUCAAUGGGGCGAGAGCCUGAACCAGCCAAGUCGCGUGAAGGAAGAAGGAUCUAUGGUUCGUAAACUUUCUUUUGCAGGGGAAUGAAGUGCAGGACGUGUCCUGUUUUGUAUGUACCCUGAGAAUAAAGGAUCGGCUAACUCCGUGCCAGCAGCCG